rnacentral:rRNA from 1 species
CUGGCACCUUCGGUGUCCGAGUUGUAAUUUGAAGAUUGUAACCUUGGGGUUGGCUCUUGUCUAUGUUUCUUGGAACAGGACGUCACAGAGGGUGAGAAUCCCGUGCGAUGAGAUGCCCAAUCCUAUGUAAGGUGCUUUCGAAGAGUCGAGUUGUUUGGGAAUGCAGCUCUAAGUGGGUGGUAAAUUCCAUCUAAAGCUAAAUAUUGGCGAGAGACCGAUAGCGAACAAGUACAGUGAUGGAAAGAUGAAAAGAACUUUGAAAAGAGAGUGAAAAAGUACGUGAAAUUGUUGAAAGGGAAGGGUUUGAGAUCAGACUCGAUAUUUUGUGAGCCUUGCCUUCGUGGCGGGGUGACCCGCAGCUUAUCGGGCCAGCAUCGGUUUGGGCGGUAGGAUAAUGGCGUAGGAAUGUGACUUUGCUUCGGUGAAGUGUUAUAGCCUGCGUUGAUGCUGCCUGCCUAGACCGAGGACUGCGAUUUUAUCAAGGAUGCUGGCAUAAUGAUCCCAAACCGCCCGUCUUG